rnacentral:rRNA from 1 species
CCCUUAGACGUUCUGGGCCGCAUGCGCGCUACACUGACGAAGGCAACGAGCUUUCCUUUACCGAAAGGUACGGGUAAUCUUUUGAAACUUCGUCGUGCUGGGGAUAGAUCCUUGCAAUUUUUGAUCUUAAACGAGGAAUGCCUAGUAAGCGCAAGUCAUCAACUUGCGUUGAUUACGUCCCUGCCCUUUGUACACACCGCCCGUCGCUACUACCGAUUGAAUGGUUUAGUGAGGCCUUCGGAUCCGCGACUCGUUUGUGGAGAAGUUGGACAAACUCAGUCAUUUAGAGGAAGUAAAAGUCGUAACA